rnacentral:lncRNA from 1 species
UUUUUUUUUUUUUUUUUAAUGUUUGUUGUCUCAUAGUUGAGUACUCUUACAAGAAGCUUUUUGGAGUUCAACUUCUGACUUCUGUAUGAGACUUCAUGAUAAUUUGUCAUUUUAGUAUUGAAGAUGCAGGAUUUUUUGGAAAUUCUAUGUAAUUGUACAGGGUAAUAAUACUGGGGGAAGAAUUUUUUUGAGUCGAGGAUGGAUUAAAAAAGGAGAGGAUGGGGGAAUGAAAAGUGAGAAACUUAGCUGAGAAAGAGGAAUUUAAAAGGUUUGGCACUAAAAAUGCGUUUUCUGAGAGGUUUGUACAGCACAGUCUUUGGCAGAGAGUUGGGGAAGUACUUUGGGUAGGGAUUCUGUAAUUCCUGAAUCUGGGACAAAGUACUUUCAGUUUAUUGGUGAACUAGCAGGUCAAAGUGGUAGUAAGGUUUAGGCCUCUACUAAGUGGAACCAGCUUUGGAGAAGGAGUGGACGGGAAGCAUAUAGUAAAAGCAGGCUGCUGGAGGCAGUUUUAAAGAAAUUCCCAUGUAGUGCUUCAUGCCUUUGUCUCAGUAUUCUAUAAAGGGAAAAGAUUUUUUUUGAAAGCUCUGUUAUAAACCAUGUGAUGAUUAUCGCCUCUUUCCUGGUGCCUUGAAGAUGUGAAGGCCAUUUGUGACGCAUUCCUGAUGAGGGAAGGAUAAGUGAGUAUAGGUCAGACACCUAACAUAACAAUAGGAACCCCAAGGCAGGAAGAAUACAACGCUAUGGAGUUAAGGGCACUCCUGUAUUUGGAGACCGCUUUGUCAAAGACUAAUUAGUUUAAACUGUACGUUGAUGGAAGAAGACAUGGUUACCCAUGGGUAUGCUUGACUUUAAGAAUUCUCUAGAUAGGUCGUCUCCAAAGUUUCUUUAUGUCUUCCUUUUAAAAUACUGUUGCUUAUGUUUUCACGUGUGUGUGUGCUCUCGCAUGCGCACGCGGUAGUACAUUUUAUAAAUCACUGAAUACAUAUUGGGGAUAUAUUGGGGGUACUAAAAGUUUUAGUGAUAGAGGUGCAUAAAUAAAAAUGUCCAGAGGCUUUUUUCCAGAUAUCACGUAGAUGAGUGUUUUUUCCUCUCAAGAAUAAGUUGUGAUUAUUAUAAUCUUUAAGUGAUACUUCUUAAAAUAAAUUGUAGGAAUCUAGAAUGCUGCCUUUUCUAAUUUACGCUUAUCUUCUUGAACCUUAUUUGUAAAAUGAGAUCUUUUACAGCCAACAGUUAAACCUAACAUGAAGCGCUAAUAGCCAUUCAAAGUCCAUAUGCUCUUAUGUAUUAAAUCAUGUAUGGCCGUGUGUUGAAAUUUACAUUUUCUGCUUUUAGAAUUUUUCUUUUUUAAAUGUUGGGGCUCUUAGAACGUUUCAUUUGUUUGCAUGGUUGUUAAAGAACUGACUUAAUGUGGUUGUACAUCAGUGAUUAGGUUCGUUUUAACGAUUACAGUUUAACCAGAAAUCCCUUGUAUAUUUUUUUCCUCUUGUUCUGAACGAUUCCUAAAUGUUUAGGAAAGAAAGAUGACUAAUCAAUUGGAUUUAAUUUGAGAAGAUUCUAUAUCUAGACAUAAACCUAAAAGGAUGGUAUGUGGCAGUUGCACUAUAAGAAAGAAUUGAAUGCGUUUUCUAGUCUUGACUUAACGGCAGUUUUGUCCCUAAAUACAAUAGACUAAGUGGGGUUGUAUUUCCUAUAAAUUCACUUAUGAUCCUUCACCUUAUCAAUGUACAUUUUUUUUUUUAACCUCCUGACAACUGGGUGAGGUUGACAGGUAGGUGGGUCAGUAUUUUUUAAUCUUUAUUUUAUGGAUAGAAAACUGUGGCUUAGGGAAUUUAAUUUGCUCCAAAGCUAAACAGCUAGUAAGUCUUUGAUUCAUAAUUUGGACUCAGGACUUUCUGACCCCAUAAUCCAAGCUGGUAACUGUUAGUAUAUUGUGGCAUAUGAGUGAUUUACCUUGUGUCCACCCUGUUGGAACAGGCGUUUUUAACGUCUCCUUCCUUUCACUCUCCAUGCCCAGGAAGCAUAGAACUGUCUUAAAACUUGGCUUCUUUCUUUAAGAGGCAGUUGGGAUCUAAUACAAAGAAUCCUAGUCUUAGAAGAACAAGCGAAAUCCAAGCCUGUACCAGCUCCCAGCUUGUGACUUCGGACAAGUUGCUUAGCCUCUCUGAGCCCAUUCAUUCCAUGUGUAAAACUGGAGAUAAAAACAAGUGCGUUGUCUAGGUCAAGCAUAGGAACACCCCUAGCACGGAGUGGUUGGAUUCUUGGAAGUUGGACGGAUGCCCUGUAUCAUGGAAGCAGAUGAAAUACAGCAGAUAAUGUUCUUGGUUUCUUGAAACGGUGAGGAUGUCGCUGUGAUUGUGUUUGGAGUUUCUUGAACAUUUGCUUUAGCCAAUAGCUACAAAAAUAUACUUGUGUCUUCGAAAUAAUAUAGGAAAGAAAAUGAGCUGCUCCCCCACCCCCCAAAAAAUACAGCUUACCCAGGCCUUGCCAUAUGUAUUUUACAGAUUUCCCCUUAGCGCUGUGGUUUUCAGAGCUAUGUUCUCAGUAAAGGAGCAAAAAGUUUCUUGACUGAGAUGUUUUUAUCUAUAUUGAAGACACCUUAAGUCGAGAGAGGGAGUGACAUUACCGAUGUGUAUAGCAAUACAGCCCCGUAGAGUGAACAUUCAUUCGCAUCCGUUAUCCUGUUGAAUCCCAACAACUCUUUAUUAAAUAAGGUGACUUUUCCCAGGGUUUGCAGUUCUUCAGGCCAUAUGUAUUUGGCAUGUUUUUGCAAGAGAUUUUCAAACAGAACUCCUUGGUUCUCCGUCUUACUAACCUAGAGUAGUGUGAGUACUUCCUUAACUGCAAAGGAAAACAGCCUUUUUAAAAGUUAUCAGUUUGGGUUUGAGUUUCUUCUUGUGAUGUAACCUGGCGCAAUGUUUGCUUGAAUCACUAAUAAUGUAAUUGGUUUCUUCUAGUCAGAAAUAAAUGAGUCAGUGACCAUGGGUUCUUUCCUUUUUUCUUUUUUUUUUUUUUUUUUUUUUUUUUUUUUUUUUUAAGUGCUGCUCUUGUGGCACAUGGAAGUUCCCAGCCUGGGAAACUCUGUAGUACUGCAGGUAUGGCCCUAAAAAGGCAAAAUAUUAAAAAAAAGUAAAAUGAAAUAAACUCAAUUCUCUUUUUUUCUAUGUGAAGAUGUCUUCAUUGAAUAGCUUGCUGCUAGGUUAUCUAACACUGCAUACCUCUGUGAGGUUGGUACUCAGCCAGCAGUUUCUUGCUAAUUUAUUUUGCAAUAAUAGAGGAAACAAGGCCUCAAGAAACUUAGAGGCAGAAUUUCUUUAGCCCUUUCAGAGGUCUUGCAUCUUAAAGCCCCUUUGUGGUACAGGCUCAGCUUGGAGUUGUAUGUUAUGUAGCUUUAUUAAUUAGUGUGUUCCUAUGAUGUUUAAGAUAGUGGUGUAAGGAGUUUGGAACUCCUUAAAACAAGAUUCAGUGGCCAGUGUCGUCAGAAUAGUUACCUCUUUAGACAGUCCUUAUGGUUAUAGAAUUAGAAAUACAGCGCUCAUGUAACAUUGAAAUACGGGAUGUCUGCUCUCUUCUGACUCCCAGAUUGUUGCAUUUUCCUCCUUACAAUGUUAGGAUCCUUUCUAAUGAUCAAAAUAUGGUCCGUGUUUUGUCCUGUAUCUACUAUGUUUAUUUUUUAGUUCAAUGAAUUUUAUUAUAUUUAAAGUUGUACAACCAUCAUCACAACUUAAUUUUAGGACAUUUACAUCCCAGACCCCCAGCCCAUCCCUCCACACCCCCUAACCUGUCUCCUUUGGUAACCAAAAGUUUUUCAAAGUCUGUGAGUCAGUUUCUGUUCUGUGAAGUUCAUUGUAUCCUUUAUUUAGAUUCCCCAUAGGGCAUAUGAUGUUUGUGUCUCACUGUUUGACUAUCUUCACUUAGCAUUAUAAUUUCUAGGUCUCUCCAUGUUGCUACAAAUGCCAUUUAUUUCAUUACUUUUUAUGGCUGAGUAAUAUUCCAUUGUGUAUAUGAAUCACAUCUUUUUUAACCACUCCUCUGUUGAUGGACAUUUAUGUUGCUUCCAUGUCUUGACUAUUGUAUAUAGUGCUGCAAUGAACAAUGCAGUACAUGUAUUUUUUUUUCUUUCUGUCUUUUUAGGGCUGCACCUGCGGCAUAUGGAGGUUCCCAGGCUAGGGGCCUAAUCUGGAGCUGCAGCUACAGGCCUACACUAGAGCCACAGCAGUGCAGGAUCUGAGCCGCAUAUGCAACCUACACCACAGCUCAUGGCAACGCUGGAUUCUUAACCCACUGAACGAGGCCUGGGAUCAAACUUUCAUCCUCAUGGGUGCUAAUCAGAUUCGUUUCCAAUGAGCCAUGACAGAAACCCCUACAUGUAUUUUUUUUAAGUCAUGGUUUUCUCUGGAUAGAUGCUCAGGAGUGGGAUUGUUGUAUCAAAUGGUAAUUCUAUUUUCAGUUUUUUGAGGAAUCUCCAUACUGUUUUCCGUAGUGUUUGCACCAAUUUACAUUCCCACCAACAGUGUAAGAGGGUUCCCUUUUCUCCACACCCUCUCCAGCACAUUGUUUGUUGACUCUUUGAUGAUGGCUGUUCUGGGCUGGAUGUAUUGUGGUACCUCAUAGUGGUUUUGAUUUGCAUUUUUCUAAUAAUGAGUGAUGUUGAACAUCUUUUCAUGUGUUUUUUGGCCAUUCAUAUGUUUUCUUUGGAGAAUUGUCUGUUUAGAUCUUCUGCCCAUCUUUUGAUGGGGUUGUUUUUUUUGGUAUUGAGCUGCAGAAGGUGUUGAUAAAUUUUGGAGAUUAAUCCCUUGUCAGUUGAUUGAUUUGCAAAGAUUUUGUCCCAUUCUGUGGGUUAUCUUUUCAUUUUGUUUAGGGUUUCCUUUGCUGUGCAAAAACUUUUAAGUUUGGUUAGGUCCCAUUUGUUUAUUUUUGUUUUUGUUGUCAUUACUCUAGGAGGUGUGUCUGAGAAGAUACUGCUGUGGUUUAUUUCAGAGAGUGUUUGGCCUAUGUUUUCCUCUAAGAAUUUUAUAGUAUUUGGUCUUAUACCUAGGUCUUUACUCCUUUUCGAGCUUAUUUUUGUAUUUAGUGUUAGUGAGUGUUCCUGAUUUCAUUUUUUUCCAUGGGCUGUCCAGUUUUCCCAGCACCACUUAUUGAAAGGGACUGUCUUUUCUCCAUUGUAUAUUCUUGCCUUCUUUGUCAUAGAUAGUUGCCCAUAGGUGCGUGGGUUUAAUUCUGGGCUCUCUAUCUUGUUCCACUAGUCUGUAUUUCUGUUUUUGUGCCACUGCCAUACUGUUUUGAUGACUGUAGCUUUGUAGUGUAGUCUGGAGUCGGGGAGCCUGAUUCCUCCAGCUCCAUGUUUCUUUCUUGGGAUUGCUUUGACUAUUCUGGGUCUUUUGUACUUCCAAACAAACUUUAAAAUACGUUGUUCUAGUUCUGUGAGUCUGUUGCACUUAUUGAACAAAUCCUUAUUGAGUCCUCCUACAUGCCAAGUACUGUGCUAAGACUGAGGAUGCCAAACCAGUCACUGUAUCUGCCCUCAAGGGUCUUGGAACCUAGCGGCGGAGAGGAGGUUACCAAACAAAUGUAAACAUUGGACCUGAGACUGCUGAGGAAAGGAACAUGGUGAAGUGGUGUCCAGAGAGAUGUGAUUACCUGAGGAGGCCUUUCCACAGGCAGGGGUACUUGAGCUGAGAUCUGAAGGAUGGGUGGGAGUUUGGGUGAACAGUAAAGAGUGUGCACAGACCUGGAUGGAGAAAGUGCGGUGAAGGGAGGGGAGGGACUAAAGGAAGAUCAGGGUGUCUGGAGUGGAGAGGAAUUAAGGAAUGGGGCCAAAUCACUGUGGGGUUUUCUAGGUAGAGUGACCAGGUAAUUUGAUUGGUGAGUUUAUCAACCAGUCUAUGACUCUUGAGAGUAGCAAAACGGUGCUAUUAAUAAUUCUACCCAGACUACAAGCGUCAGCCCAGACAUACAGUCACCUCACUUUUAUAGGCCGUGUUAGAAAUUUCAUCUCUGUGAAUAAGGGCUGGGCAACCAGCAGCGCGUCUCCUUCCUGGUGGACAUGUCAAGGAGUUAGAACACUUUAUCCAGAGUCUAAAGGGAACCCAGGUAGGACUCAAAAGUGUGUUUUUCGGAACAGUUAGGUUGUGAUGAUGUGUUUUGGUACAGACUUUCAUGGGUUUGUUUUGUUUGUUUUUGCAUUUUCGGUGGCCCUGUGGCACAGGGAGUUCCCUAGCCAGGGAUCAGAUCCAAGCCGCAGUUGAGAUCUAUACCACAGCUGCUGCAAUGCUGGGUGCAAUCCUUAACCCAGGCCAGGGAUUGAACCUGUGUCCUAACACUCCCAAGAUGCCGCUGGUCGUGUUGCACCACUGUGGGACCUUCAUUGACUCACAUUUUAAAGGUCUAGCAUGAAAAGUUGGGUUUUAGUGUGAGCUCCUGGAUUAGUGGUACUUCCAUGGUGUAUGAGAAGCAGAAAUCAAACAUAUCUUGCAUUUUUACCACAAUUUUACUGUAGCACUGGUCAUUUUGCAAUGAGUGUUUAUUUAAAUAGAAUUUUUUAAAAAGCUUCAUUCUGGGUUUACAUUUUGAAUGUAAGUACCUGCUGGGCAUAACUUUCAAGGUGUGAGCCACUUAAAUUUCUUUAAAUUGAUGUAAACAUUUUAUACAGUUUAAAUACAUAGAGUUCAGUGAAUUUGGUGUACCCAUGUAAUCCACACUCUGAUCAAGAGAUAGAACAUUUCAGAGUUCCUGCUGUGGUGCCACAGGAUUGGCUUCUUGAGAGUGCUGCUGGGUAGGUUCAAUCCCUGGGCUGGCAGAGUGGGUUAAGGAUCCUGCGUUGCUGCAGCUGGAGCAUAGGUCGCAGCUGUGAUUCUGAUCUGAUCCCUAGCCCAAGAACUCCAUGUGCUGCAGUGUGGC